rnacentral:rRNA from 1 species
AUUGAACGCUGGCGGCAGGCCUAACACAUGCAAGUCGAGCGGAUGAAGGGAGCUUGCUCCUGGAUUCAGCGGCGGACGGGUGAGUAAUGCCUAGGAAUCUGCCUGGUAGUGGGGGAUAACGUCCGGAAACGGGCGCUAAUACCGCAUACGUCCUGAGGGAGAAAGUGGGGGAUCUUCGGACCUCACGCUCUCAGAUGAGUCUAGGUCGGAUUAGCUAGUUGGUGGGGUAAAGGCCUACCAAGGCGACGAUCCGUAACUGGUCUGAGAGGAUGAUCAGUCACACUGGAACUGAGACACGGUCCAGACUCCUACGGGAGGCAGCAGUGGGGAAUAUUGGACAAUGGGCGAAAGCCUGAUCCAGCCAUGCCGCGUGUGUGAAGAAGGUCUUCGGAUUGUAAAGCACUUUAAGUGGGGAGGAAGGGCAGUAAGUUAAUACCUUGCUGUUUUGACGUUACCAACAGAAUAAGCACCGGCUAACUUCGUG